GCAAAUUCAUUGACGACGCCGCCCAAGGGCGGGUUGUCGUGCCAAAAGUCCCCCGACAGGAGCCACGAGACCCUCCUGGGCCAAAUAGAGAACCUCCCAAGGGGAGAAUCUCCGUGAAUACAAUAGCAGGAGGAUUCUCAGGCGGGGGCGAAUCAAGCUCAGCAAGGAAAAGGUAUGUACGCCGAGCCGUCUCGGAAAUAUACCUCGUAAGUCAGCCCCAGCCAUUAGACGUACCAGAUUUGGCGUUCACGGCAAAGGAUGGUUUGGAGGUAGCACCCCAUGACGAUGAUCC
rnacentral:lncRNA from 1 species